GAUGAAGAACGUAGCGAAAUGCGAUAAGUAAUGUGAAUUGCAGAGUCCAGUGAAUCAUCGAAUCUUUGAACGCACAUUGCGCCCGCCAGCAUUCUGGCGGGCAUGCCUGUUCGAGCGUCAUUUCAACCCUCGACCUCCCUUUGGGGAAGUCGGCGUUGGGGACCGGCAGCACACCGCCGGCCCUGAAAUGGAGUGGCGGCCCGUCCGCGGCGACCUCUGCGUAGUAAACCAACUCGCACCGGAACCCCGACGUGGCCACGCCGUAAAACACCCAACUUCUGAACGUUGACCUCGAAUCAGGUAGGACUACCCGCUGAACUUAAGCAUAUCAAUAAGCGGAGGA
rnacentral:misc_RNA from 1 species